UUUUUUUUUUUUUUCUUUUUUUCAGUGAGAUUUUGAAAAAAGACCAACAGCUCUGAGUUUUCUAGAAUGAAUGGAAACAGGAAUUUGUGGAACCAAAUUCUGGUUAAUGGAGAGCUGCCAUAGAUACGGUGUGGGGAUUACACAUUCCCCAAGAUCCAGAGCAUAACACACUAAUUCCGGGCCUGCUGUGGCCUGGGCCUCUCUUCCCUUCUUUGUUGAGGAUUCAGUAGGCUCCUCAGGACCCAGGGGCCUGGGGUCCUCCCUGGGACAUUUCCACCUGGCUUGUUGGGGAAGUCAGUGCUCUGGAUUGUGCGCACCCCAGCAAAGGGCUGCGGGGGAUCCUGGAGCUGGGAGUUGACUGGGCCAGGGCUCAUUGGGAAGCAUGUCCAUGUGCAUGCUACGCCCUCCUGCCCAGUCUCCACUCUGGCCCUCACUGGUCUCUGCCCCCCUCCGCCCUCCCUUCCCAUCUGAGACCUCCCUCAGACUCACAUCACCCCACCCUCUCCUGCUCACAACCCAUGGGCUUCCAAAGCCACAAGACCAGACUCCCACCCUCCCCCGAGCUGGCCCCUGCCACCAUCUAUCUCCAGCACCCACAGUGCUUUCCUUUCCUGCGGUGGCCCCUUUCCUGCCUCCACACCUUUGCUGUCUGCUGCCUGGAGCACGGAUUCCUGUGCCAGGCUGUGGCCGUCACAUGGGGCCUAACAGCGCCGCCGCCUGUGCGCCUGCCUGUCAUCCCCAGCAGACCCUACCACGCCACCGGGGUCCCCGCCCUGAGCCUCGCGCAGUGCAGUGCCAGGGAAUCCAUCAGCAGUGCUCUCCGCCUGCCUUGGAGGUGGGGCUGGGUUGAGGCCCCAGCACGCCCUGGAGCUGACGCCCAGCGUUCGGCAGACAGAGCAGAGCCACCUCCUGCCCAGAGAGCCCCCUGGGUCUCUGGCCUGAGAAGAGCUGACAGCUCCUUAAUAGAAGCAGGCCGCGGACUCGCCUGAGUGACACCGCGCCUGGCUGAGAGGCGGUGGCUCGCAUCAAAGCCUCAUUUUUCUUCUUCCUGUUAGGCGCUGAAACAAUUUACACAGAGCGCCCCACAUGUGUCUGCGACAAAGAUGCAUCUUUCUCAUAACUGGCAGGCAUCCCCUUGGCUUCCUAGACACCCCCAUCAACGCCUGGCCCCCUUCCUUAGGAGCGGGGGUCUCAGAGACAUGAGGCUUGGGGAGGCCAGCCAAAGUAACAACCAGGCCAUAUGUUUUUUUUUUUUUUUUGAGACGGAGUCUCGCUCUGUCGCCCAGGCUGGAGUGCAGUGGCCGGAUCUCAGCUCACUGCAAGCUCCGCCCCCCGGGUUUUCACGCCAUUCUCCUGCCUCAGCCUCCCGAGUAGCUGGGACUACAGGCUCUCGCCACCUCGCCCGGCUAGUUUUUUUGUAUUUUUAGUAGAGACGGGGUUUCACCGUGUUAGCCAGGAUGGUCUCGAUCUCCUGACCUCGUGAUCCGCCCGUCUCGGCCUCCCAAAGUGCUGGGAUUACAGGCUUGAGCCACCGCGCCCGGCCGGCCAUAUGUUUCUUAAAACAAAAACAAAACCCAACAGCCCUUAAGGGCUUGGGGGUGGGGACAUGCAUCCUGCAGGACCAGGGCAGCUGCACGGGACACCACAAUGUGAGUUCACAGGGAGGCUGCCUGGCUGCGCAGGGGCUGGCCUGGACCCCAGGUCUUCCCUGUGAUGAAUUCAAGUUUGAAGGCACUGGCUCCAGCGCCUACUGCUCAGGCUGGGAGGCUCCAGGGGCAGCUCCCACGAAGCCCUGUCUUCUAGAGCCAGAGCCUGAAGCCCCACCAUUCUCCUGGCUUCAUCCUGGGCAAAGGAUUACCCACUCUUGGCUUCUAAGAAAUGCCACACCCCGAGAGAGUAACAGGGUAAGUCUCACCAGCCCUGUGAGCGAUCAGCACCCGGGCCCUUCAUCCUGUGUGAUCAAGAGUGGGGAACAGAGUCGGGCUGAACCCCAGCCUCAGGCCCCAGGGCAGGAGGUCCCCUCCCCUGACUUAACAGAUGGGCCACCUUGCCUCUUGUGAAAUGGGUGACUUGCAGGGAGAUUCCUCACACGUGUACCUGGUGGAUGUGAGUUCAAUGCAUUCAAAUAUUAUACAACUAUUCUUGCCUGUGUACUAGAAUGUGCUAUAACAUCACUGUGUGACUCACACAGUAAGGCCUACGUCUUGCUGUUUGGGGCUGCACGCUCAGCCCCAUGUGUCUGUGCCUCGCUUUACACGAUUUUCAUCUUGUGUGUACAAUACAGACCCUCAAGUCCCCUGGAAGACAAGUCCACGCUGGGGAUGUUUCUGGAUUCUGAGGUGGAGGACCCCUAGGGCUGGGCCCACACACCUUCCCCUCCACCUCCUGCAUGGACUGUGCCUCAGUCUCUUCUGUGUGUCCAGUAGAGGCUUCUUAAAUGCAAAUGAGACCCUGGCAAUUCCACUUCCAAGGCACACAUUCAAUGGGAAUGCCACACACAGGCACCAAACAAUGUGUUCGAGAAUGUUCAUGGCAGGCAUAUUCACAAGCUCCUCCAACUGUUUUAUUUUUCAAAAAAACGUUUGAGAGAUGAGGUCUUGCUAUGUUGCCUGGGCUGGUCUCAAACUAUCCUCCCACCUCAGCCUCCCAAAGGGCUGGGAAUACAGGCGCGAACCACUAAAGAUCCUCUGAUUAAUUACAAACAACCCAAGUGUUCAUCAAAAGGAGGAGGGAGAAACAAGCUGUGGCAUAUGCACACAAUAGAAUACUACACAAUACUGAAAACAAAGCACUGCCACACACAGCACGGAUAGGUCUCAAAAACAGCAAAAGAAGAGGAGGCCGGGCGCGGUGGCUCAUGCCUGUAAUCCCAGCACUUUGGGAGCCCGAGGUAAGCUUGAGGCUAGGAGUUCAGGACCAGCCUGGCCAACAUGGCAAAACCCUAAAAAUACAAAAAUGAGUUAGGCGCGGUGGCAGGCACCUGUAAUCCCAGCUACUCGUGAGGCUGAGGCACGAGAAUUGCUUGAACUCGGGAGGCAGAGGUUGUA
ensembl:lncRNA